UUUUAUUUUGCGAACAUUUAAAUCCCUAAAAAUUUAAAAAUACAAUUAGGUCCCUAAAAAAACCCCUGCCCAAUCCCAAACCGAAGCCCAACCUCUCACUAAUCUCUCAAGCUUACCCGAAAAAGAAAAAAACCUAGCCCUAGCGUCUCUUCCUCUCACUAGCCUCUCCCUUGCUCACUAAAGCUCGAGAAAUCUCAAGCUCUCUUCCUCUCUCGUCUCUGGUCUCGCACCCAAGGUUCUCGUCACUUCCGUGUCGUCAGUAGUCACCGUCUCGCACUCAGUCGCGCUCGCACGCCUUCUCUGAGCUGGUCGUCGCCGGCGGCAAAAGUAGCUAGUCAUGAAGCUGAUUGUUGGAACCAAAUAGAGAUGAGCAUGUCUCCCUUGACAAUUUCAAAAUGGAGCUACCUUCAGAGGAGCAGAUAAGAUUGAUCAAGAAAGCAACAUUGUUGCUGGAACCACAGCUGGUAUUGCAAGUACCUCCAAAGAGUGGGAAUUUGGCUGCAAAGCCUGAAUCCAAGCCUAUCGAUAGACAGUGGUUCUUUUGUAGCUGCCAAUGCAUAUAAAGAUCGGUUGGCUCUAUUUUCUGUGUCGGGGAUUGGCAAUGAUAUUGUUGAUGAGGUCUGGAAAUGAUUUUCUAUUCAUUGAAGGUGAUGCUCUUUUGACGGGUAUGUUCUCUGCUUAUUUGCAGACAGGUAUGUUCUCUGCUCGGACCUAUUUUGUGUUCUUGGCUUCUUCGGUUAUUGGAAAGGAUGGAUGCAUGUAGGUUUCAAUUUGGAUGCCUUACAUAUUUUAGUACAUUGAUUGUAGUACAUAUCAUAGCGUGGAGUGUGGGCAUUGAAUAGGCUCACCUUAGCUUGUACUGAACUUUAUAUAGAACUGGGUAGCUAGAAUAAAAUUUCACGUCACUCGGUCAUAGAUGCUUUGAGGCCUGUCAUGAAUUAUAAUAUUAAAAGGUUAACAACAGGAAAAUGGAAAUUAAAGCUAUUGGUUAUUCUCAUGAUGAAACUGAAAUCUGAUUAGCUCAAAAAUGUAGUCUAGAUGUAUAAGACAUUAAGAGAUGCAUCUCAAAUUGGAUUUAGCUUAACAUAAUGCAUAUGCGUAUUACUUCAAAUAUUCCAUAAUUCAGUGAAUAUCUUCAUGCACAGUCUAAUUUUUAACUGCGGCUGUGAUCAUAUUCCAUUUGUCCAGGUCCUCUUUCUCAUGUAUCAUUAUUUUGCCGCGACAGAGAUAUACAAUGCAAUAUGUGUUUGUAUUGCUGCAUAUGUUUGGAUGACUGGAUUUGGAAACUUCUCAUAUUAUUAUGCUAGAAAAGAUUUCAGCCUUGCUCGCUUUGCUCGGGUGAUAUAUAUGUGGUGUCUAUUCUGUAUCCUUAACUUGCUACUCUUUGUUCAUAAAACAAGUUUUGAACUCAUUAGACUUCAAACAGAUGAUGUGGCGGCUUAAUUUUUUGUGGCCUUCUGUUUUAUUGUGCUUAACAAUGACUACAUAUAUGUCCAAUGCACACACUUUUCACUUUGAUGGUGUAUGGAGCAUUGGGUAUAUAUAGCAAGUAUAACAAAAACAGCUUAGUGGUGGAUGCAAAAAUUCUUGCAUUCUUUCUUGCGGUGAUCUUGCAUUCUUACAUGUAGCGUAUUUGCAUGUUUCAAGAUGAUUUGUUAAUCCAAGAAUAUAAGCUUGCAUGUUUCAAGCUGACUUGUUAAUCUAAGAAUAUAAGUUUGCAUGUUUAUAUCUUAGUAGUAUCUAAGAAUAUGACUUGAGCAAUACACACCGGAUGCCUCUGUAACUUCUAAGGGAGAAUCGAACAUGAACUUCUCUGCCUUGGACGAGAAAGUAAUCUAUUUUUUGGCUAUAAUACCCGAAGAUGCCUUACUUUAUUGGAAUGCCUUUUUAACAUGUCUUUAGUUAUCUUUUGUGAUGUUUAUAUUUUCUGUGAUGUUACCUUAUUAUUUAGUAACGCGUCUUAUUUUAUGGCAUCUUGAAGCUUGAAAAGGGUGUUGUCGAGGCACUAUAGACGAUGAUUCGCGAAGCUGUUGUGCAAGGGAUAACAACAGUUCUCCCAGAGUUUGUGAAAACGGUUGGUUCCUCAUCAAAAAGUGAGUGAUGGUGUAAAGUUUUUGAAUACUGCUCCAGUUGUUACACCACCGUCGGAUACUUUGAAACGCAUACUUGACGCCAACCCCUCAAUGAGUGACGAACCAGUCACGAAGAAGAGGACUCCGAGGUGCAAGGGAAGAAAGCGUGGACUACCGGUCUCCGAAGUUAAGGUUUUAUGUUUUUAUUUUUAAAUAACAACUAUUAAAUACUACUAAGAUAGCAUUUGAUCAAAUUAAUACACAAUAUAUGAUGUUAUAGUUCACAAAGCACAGCAUUCUUCAGCCAUUGGAUUUGCCACUGUCCCGAUUUAGGGGUGAAGAACUUUUUAGUAUUCUCACAUAUUGUAAUAUUAAUGUUAAGUCAUAAAAUAAAAUAUGUUCCUCAACUUCUCCUCUCUUUCCUACUAGAUAUGAGGUCUGAGCUUCACUAUUGAAAGCUUUAGGCUUGUGAGUACCAAAUUUUUUUGUCAGCAUAUUGUACCUGUUAGUGACAUUGGAAGGCUGAUUAGAAUCCUGAUUAAUACUAGGGAGUUAAAUUUCAAUUGCUAAUAUGGGAAUUUGAUUUAUUGAUGUGGUGGAAAGCUUAUCGGUUGAGAGAAUUGUAUUGACAAAUAAGUAACAUCAAUGCUUAAAAUAAUUAUCGUAUUUUUUGGAUUUGCAGAAAGAAUUGCAUUUUGGGGAGAAGCUUUCUUCGGGUCGUCCAUGGCUUUACUACAAUAAUUACAAUCCAAAUAUGGACGGAGAUGACAUGCCACAUAACUGGUCAUUGCUGCUUACAUCUUUGGAAACAAUUUGGAUCUAGAAGGAUCCGAUUAGCUUGAGAAAUUAGCGGAGUUUUGUUAGCUUGAGACAUGGUGAAGGUAGUGUAUAUGUGAGAUUGGAACUCAUUUGAAGAGAUUGGAAGCUUGUUUGAGCCUUGGGUGCUAAAGUUUCGAUAUUGGAGGCUUGUGACCUCGUCAAUUUGGGUGUUUUUGGCUUUGGAGAGUUAUCCCGAUUUUGUCCAUCAAAGAUGAUCUAUUCGAGAGAUUCAAGAAGCUGAGUAUUAUGGACCUUGCAGAGCUGGAGUUGACUUCUGACAAACUGCAUAGAAUGUUGUUGGCUUUCAGCGAGAGGGCAAAGGGUCAGAAGUUUUCAAAGAAUGCUUCAGAUCAGGAAAUGCUCGAGAUAGUCAUGUCUAGGUAUGAAAAGGAAAUCAGGCACCCUAUUCAAAACUUUAUAGGUGGAAAGUUGGCAGAGGCUCUGCUUAUUCAGGGCAAUGCUGGAGCUGGACCAAUGAAUUUUGAUAGUAAAAUGUGUAAGACCUAUAAUUUUUAGAAAAAUUUUAUUAUGAACUA